rnacentral:rRNA from 1 species
AUGGCCAAGCUUCUGGAGCUUGAUGAAGACUGCCUCGUUAAUCAGUUUAACAGCAACGCCCCCACUUUUGCUAGAUUCAACCACUCCCCUCCGUGUCCAAGACCUGAUCUUGUCCUGGGCAUCAAGCCUCAUGCCGAUUUCCCUGCUCUCACGGUUCUUCUCAUGGACAAAGACGUCGUGGGGCUGCAAUAUCUUAGAGAUGGAACCUGGUACAAUGUUCCAGCUGUGUGUGACCACACCUUGCUGAUCAACAUUGGUCUUACAAUGGAGAUAAUGACCAACGGGAUCUUCAUGGGGCCAAUGCGUAGAGUUGUGACUAAUGCCAAUAAAGAGAGGAUAUCAAUGGCCAUGUUCUAUGGUGUGGAUCCCAUGCAAGAGAUUGGGCCGACAGCUCAUCUGUUAAGUGAGGAGCAACCGGCACAAUUAAUACAGGAAAAUGAAGGCCAAGGACUUGUUAGUGUUGCACCAUGA